rnacentral:piRNA from 1 species
UAAUUAAUCCACGGCACCGUUAGAUGCUCC